rfam:Microgenomates (Woesebacteria) bacterium GW2011_GWB1_40_101 TT72_C0017, whole genome shotgun sequence.
GCUGGUGCUUAGAGCAAGGUGGAACUACUCCUUUCCAUUCCGAACAGGAUCGUAAAACGCCUUAGCGCCCACGAUAGUAGUCGGGCAACUGACUGCGAAAAUAGGUCAGUGCCAGCA